rnacentral:rRNA from 1 species
UCCCAGCUGUAAACUAUGCAAACUCAGUGAUGCAUUGGCUUGUGGCCAAUGCAGUAUUGCAGGGAAGCCGUUAAGUUUGCCGCCUGGGAAGUACGUACGCAAGUAUGAAACUUAAAGGAAUUGGCGGGGGAGCACCACAAGGGGUGAAGCCUGCGGUUCAAUUGGAGCCAACGCCAGAAAUCUUACCCGGAGAGACAGCAGAAUGAAGGUCAAGCUGAAGACUUUACCAGACAAGCUGAGAGGUGGUGCAUGGCCG